CACUAUCGUUAACUGAAUACAUAGGUUAACGAGGCGAACCGGGGGAACUGAAACAUCUAAGUACCCCGAGGAAAAGAAAUCAACCGAGAUUCCCCCAGUAGCGGCGAGCGAACGGGGAGCAGCCCAGAGUCUGAAUCAGCUUGUGUGUUAGUGGAACGGUCUGGAAAGUCCGACGGUACAGGGUGAUAGUCCCGUACACCAAAAUGCACAGGUUGUGAACUCGAAGAGUAGGGCGGGACACGUGGUAUCCUGUCUGAAUAUGGGGGGACCAUCCUCCAAGGCUAAAUACUCCUGACUGACCGAUAGUGAACCAGUACCGUGAGGGAAAGGCGAAAAGAACCCCGGCGAGGGGAGUGAAAAAGAACCUGAAACCGUGUACGUACAAGCAGUGGGAGCACCUUCGGGUGUGACUGCGUACCUUUUGUAUAAUGGGUCAGCGACUUAUAUUCUGUAGCAAGGUUAACCGUAUAGGGGAGCCGCAGGGAAACCGAGUCUUAACUGGGCGUUAAGUUGCAGGGUAUAGACCCGAAACCCGGUGAUCUAGCCAUGGGCAGGUUGAAGGUUGGGUAACACUAACUGGAGGACCGAACCGACUAAUGUUGAAAAAUUAGCGGAUGACUUGUGGCUGGGGGUGAAAGGCCAAUCAAACCGGGAGAUAGCUGGUUCUCCCCGAAAGCUAUUUAGGUAGCGCCUCGUGAACUCAUCUUCGGGGGUAGAGCACUGUUUCGGCUAGGGGGUCAUCCCGACUUACCAACCCGAUGCAAACUACGAAUACCGAAGAAUGUUAUCACGGGAGACACACGGCGGGUGCUAACGUCCGUCGUGAAGAGGGAAACAACCCAGACCGCCAGCUAAGGUCCCAAAGUCAUGGUUAAGUGGGAAACGAUGUGGGAAGGCACAGACAGCCAGGAUGUUGGCUUAGAAGCAGCCAUCAUUUAAAGAAAGCGUAAUAGCUCACUGGUCGAGUCGGCCUGCGCGGAAGAUGUAACGGGGCUAAACCAUGCACCGAAGCUGCGGCAGCGACACUAUGUGUUGUUGGGUAGGGGAGCGUUCUGUAAGCCUGCGAAGGUGACCUGUGAGGGUUGCUGGAGGUAUCAGAAGUGCGAAUGCUGACAUAAGUAACGAUAAAGCGGGUGAAAAGCCCGCUCGCCGGAAGACCAAGGGUUCCUGUCCAACGUUAAUCGGGGCAGGGUGAGUCGACCCCUAAGGCGAGGCCGAAAGGCGUAGUCGAUGGGAAACAGGUUAAUAUUCCUGUACUUGGUGUUACUGCGAAGGGGGGACGGAGAAGGCUAUGUUAGCCGGGCGACGGUUGUCCCGGUUUAAGCAUGUAGGCUGGUUAUCCAGGCAAAUCCGGAUAAUCAAGGCUGAGGUGUGAUGACGAGGCACUACGGUGCUGAAGUAACAAAUGCCCUGCUUCCAGGAAAAGCCUCUAAGCAUCAGGUAACAUCAAAUCGUACCCCAAACCGACACAGGUGGUCAGGUAGAGAAUACCAAGGCGCUUGAGAGAACUCGGGUGAAGGAACUAGGCAAAAUGGUGCCGUAACUUCGGGAGAAGGCACGCUGGUGUGUAGGUGAAGUCCCUGCGGAUGGAGCUGAGACCAGUCGAAGAUACCAGCUGGCUGCAACUGUUUAUUAAAAACACAGCACUGUGCAAACACGAAAGUGGACGUAUACGGUGUGACGCCUGCCCGGUGCCGGAAGGUUAAUUGAUGGGGUUAUCCGUAAGGAGAAGCUCUUGAUCGAAGCCCCGGUAAACGGCGGCCGUAACUAUAACGGUCCUAAGGUAGCGAAAUUCCUUGUCGGGUAAGUUCCGACCUGCACGAAUGGCGUAAUGAUGGCCAGGCUGUCUCCACCCGAGACUCAGUGAAAUUGAACUCGCUGUGAAGAUGCAGUGUACCCGCGGCAAGACGGAAAGACCCCGUGAACCUUUACUAUAGCUUGACACUGAACAUUGAGCCUUGAUGUGUAGGAUAGGUGGGAGGCUUUGAAGCGUGGACGCCAGUCUGCGUGGAGCCAACCUUGAAAUACCACCCUUUAAUGUUUGAUGUUCUAACGUUGGCCCCUUACCGGGGUUGCGGACAGUGUCUGGUGGGUAGUUUGACUGGGGCGGUCUCCUCCCAAAGCGUAACGGAGGAGCACGAAGGUUAGCUAAUCCUGGUCGGACAUCAGGAGGUUAGUGCAAUGGCAUAAGCUAGCUUGACUGCGAGCGUGACGGCGCGAGCAGGUGCGAAAGCAGGUCAUAGUGAUCCGGUGGUUCUGAAUGGAAGGGCCAUCGCUCAACGGAUAAAAGGUACUCCGGGGAUAACAGGCUGAUACCGCCCAAGAGUUCAUAUCGACGGCGGUGUUUGGCACCUCGAUGUCGGCUCAUCACAUCCUGGGGCUGAAGUAGGUCCCAAGGGUAUGGCUGUUCGCCAUUUAAAGUGGUACGCGAGCUGGGUUUAGAACGUCGUGAGACAGUUCGGUCCCUAUCUGCCGUGGGCGCUGGAGAAUUGAGGGGGGCUGCUCCUAGUACGAGAGGACCGGAGUGGACGCAUCACUGGUGUUCGGGUUGUCAUGCCAAUGGCACUGCCCGGUAGCUAAAUGCGGAAGAGAUAAGUGCUGAAAGCAUCUAAGCACGAAACUUGCCCCGAGAUGAGUUCUCCCUGAGACUUUAAGUCUCCUGAAGGAACGUUAAAGACGAUGACGUUGAUAGGCCGGGUGUGUAAGCGCAGCGAUGCGUUGAGCUAACCGGUACUAAUGAACCGUGAGGCUUAACCUU
rnacentral:rRNA from 1 species